AGGGCCGCAUGCUUGGCAUAUGGAGGUUCCCAGGCUAGGGGUCCAUAGCCACAGCCACAGCCACGUGGGAUCCAACUGUGUCUGCAACUUACACCACAGUUCACAGCAACACCGGAUCCUUAACCCAUGGAGCAAGGCCAGAGAUCGAACCUGCCACCUCAUGGUUCCUAGUCAGAUUCGUUUCCGCUGCACCAUGAUGAGAACUCCUAAAGGAAAUUAGUUUCACUCCAGCCCACCAGGGUUCAUGAUAAACAAAGGCAGAAACUUCAAUGAAGGAACUCUAUUUAUCUUCACAGAAAAACAUGGACAAAGCCUAAGACUCUGACCAAACUCUGACCAAAGUUAAGACAAAAGCAUUCAUAUACCUCUGAAAAUCAGUUCCUAACAGGGUUUUUGGUUGUUUUUGUUUGUUUGUUUGUUUGUUUUUGCCACUACAGUGACAAUGCUGAGUCCUUAACCUACUGCACCACAAGGGAACACCCCAAUAGGCCUGAAUGAGGGCAAGGUUUGGUGUUGUUGUUUUGUUUUGUUUUUUGAUUUAAACAAAUGAUCAGAGCUUGUAAGCUAGGAAAUGAUACUCCUUAUAAAAAUCACACAAGUUACAGCAAAACUAUACAGCAAGUUAUAGCACCAAAACCCAAAUCAAAUGACUCCUCCAACAAGUUAUUCUCCUCUAUACUAUUCAUUUAUUUGAAAGGUAUUUAUUUUUUUAAUAAUAAUUUUUAUUUUUUCCAUUAUAGCUGAUAAAAAGGUAUUUAUGAGGAGUUCCCUGAUGGCUCCGUAGAUUAAGGAUCUGCAUUUUUGCUGCUGUGGCAAGAGUUCAAUCCUUGCCCCAGGAAUUUCCUCAUGCCAACACAUUAAUUAAUUAAUUAAGGGUAUUUAUGACCACAUACCAUAUACCAGGUAUGGAGCUAGGUACUCCAGAAACAACAGGAAAUGAGACAGAGGUGGUCCCUCCUCUCAGGAAACUUAGACUCCGGUGGGAAGACAAACACUAGACACUCAAAUAAAUACACAAUUAGAAAAUGUAGGCGUUCCCAUUAUGGUGCAGUGGAAACAAAUCGACCGGGAACCAUGAGGAUGUGGGUUCGAUCCCUGGCCUCGCUCACUGGGUUAAGGAUCCAUCAGAUUCAUUUCCGCUGUGCCACGAAGGAAACACCUCUUCAUUUUUUUUUUAAUUUUAGGGAAAUACAGUUGAUUUAUAACAUUGCAUUAGUUUCAUGUGUAUAGGAAAAUGAUUAAGUUAUACGUAUAUAUAUUCUUUUUCUACAGCCUCUUCCAUUAUAGGCUAUUGAGAAAUCCUAUAACCCUACAGAAUAUUGAGAAAAUUUCCCUGUGCUCUACAGUAGGUCCUUGUUAGUUAUCUAUUUUUAUUUAUUUAUUUACUUAUUUAUUUAUUUUUGGCCAUGCCCAUGGCCCAUGCAAGUUCCUGGGCUUGGAGUCGAAUCCGAACUGCAGCUGGGGCCACAGCCACAGUAACACUGGCUCUGAAGCGCAUCUGCAAGCUGUGCCACACACAGCUUGUGGCAACACCAGAUACUUUUUUUGUUUUUUUGUCUUUCUGUCUUUUUCUAGGGCCGCA
ensembl:lncRNA